GUGGGGAAUAUUGGACAAUGGGCGAAAGCCUGAUCCAGCCAUGCCGCGUGUGUGAAGAAGGUCUUCGGAUUGUAGAGCACUUUAAGUUGGGAGGAAGGGUAGUAACCUAAUACGUUGCUACUUUGACGUUACCGACAGAAUAAGCACCGGCUAACUUCGUGCCAGCAGCCGCGGUAAUACGAAGGGUGCAAGCGUUAAUCGGAAUUACUGGGCGUAAAGCGCGCGUAGGUGGUUCAGUAAGUUGGAAGUGAAAUCCCCGGGCUCAACCUGGGAACUGCUUUCAAAACUGCUGAGCUAGAGUACGGUAGAGGGUGGUGGAAUUUCCUGUGUAGCGGUGAAAUGCGUAGAUAUAGGAAGGAACACCAGUGGCGAAGGCGACCACCUGGACUGAUACUGACACUGAGGUGCGAAAGCGUGGGGAGCAAACAGGAUUAGAAACCCGGGUAGUCC
rnacentral:rRNA from 1 species